GGUUUUAAAUGAAGAGUUAGCAAAACCUAAUCUACAAGGACAUGAUGAAGAAGCAAAGUUUAAAGGAUUUAUUCCAAAGCCAAUUCCCAUAGUGAAGCCUAUUCCAAAACCAUUUCCCAUCAUUAAGCCUAUUCCAAAGAUAAUUCCUAUCGCCAAACCUAUUCCUAUUCCGAUUUAUAAGCCUAUAUCAAAAUCAAUUCCCAUUAUUAAGCCUGUUCCAAAGAUAAUUCCCAUUAUUAAACCAAUUCCAAUUAUUAAACCUGUACCAAAACCAAUUCCCAUUAUUAAGCCUGUCCCAAAACCAUUUAUAGUGAAAAAGCCUAUCCCUGUUGAGUCGGAGGAAUUUCUAAAACCAAAGCCUUUCUUCAAAAAGCCUAUUCCUAAACUACCACUUCACCCUAAAUUCAAGAAACCAAUUCUACCAUCAUUGCCAAUUCACAAGCCAAUUCCA
rnacentral:lncRNA from 1 species